CUGUUAAACAUACACACACUAUUAUACAUACACACUAUUAUACAUACACAGAUAUAUACAUAUAUGCACUGUUACAUAUUUACACGCACACUUUAUUAAACAUAUGAACACACACACUAUUUUACAUACAUAGAGAUAUACAUGUACACACACUGUUACACAUAUACUCACUCACAGAGAUGCAAACACUAAUGUAUAGACAUAUACACACAUUGUACACAGACACACACAUACACUCACAGAUACACAUUGAUAUAUACACAUACAAAUACAGUUACACAUAUAAACGCUCACACACACUCUUGCACAUACACUCACCCACUAAAAUUUACACAUAUACACAUACUAUUAAAUAUAUACUUUUAACAUUUAUACUUCAUAAAAUCUACAUAAAAUAAUGUACAGGGACUGGUCUGUGCAUUCUCUCAGUGUAUUGCUAUUUGAACGUUUUUUAGUGCUGUUUCAUUUAUGUACAACUGUUUUUACUGGGUGCAGCCCUCUGCUGUCUUUGUUUACAGUAUACAAGCCCAUAUAGUCAGUGUAGCACUCUAUUAUCUCUGUGUAGUAUCUGUGUUGUUCUCUAUACUAGCUGUACUUCCUCCACAGACUCUCCUCAAAUGUAUGUUUUCCUGUGGUCACCUCUUAAACGGCGCCUAUAAUGAAUGUGCUUGAUCCAAAAAUGAACCUGGUCUUUUUUGUGUGUUUGCU